UACGUAGGGUGCAAGCGUUUGUCCGGAAUUAUUGGGCGUAAAGAGCUCGUAGGCGGUCAGUCGCGUCUGCUGUGAAAACUCGGGGCUUAACUCCGGGCCUGCAGUGGGUACGGGCUGACUAGAGUGCGGUAGGGGAGACUGGAAUUCCUGGUGUAGCGGUGAAAUGCGCAGAUAUCAGGAGGAACACCGGUGGCGAAGGCGGGUCUCUGGGCCGAUACUGACGCUGAGGAGCGAAAGCGUGGGGAGCGAACAGG
rnacentral:rRNA from 1 species